AUAUAAAUCACAUGAGGAGCUUGUUAAAAUGCAGGUUCUGAUUCAGUAGGUCUUGGUUAGGGCCCAAGAUUCUGUCAUUUUAGUAAGUUCUUAGUGAUGCUGAU
rnacentral:pre_miRNA from 1 species